rnacentral:rRNA from 1 species
YUGYWGARKKCGCCCUUAGAGUUUGAUCCUGGCUCAGAACGAACGCUGGCGGCGUGCUUAACACAUGCAAGUCGAACGUGAUCCAGAGCUUGCUCUGGUGAAAGUGGCGCACGGGUGAGUAACGCGUGGAUAACCUGCCCUGGUAUCUGGGAUAACAUCUCGAAAGGGGUGCUAAUACCGGAUAAGCCUACGGGAUCUUCGGAUUCUGCAGGAAAAGGAGGCCUCUAUUUAUAAGCUUCCGUAUCAUGAUGGGUCCGCGUACCAUUAGCUAGUUGGUGGGGUAAUGGCCUACCAAGGCGACGAUGGUUAGCUGGUCUGAGAGGAUGAUCAGCCACACUGGAACUGAGACACGGUCCAGACUCCUACGGGAGGCAGCAGUGGGGAAUUUUGCGCAAUGGGGGAAACCCUGACGCAGCAACGCCGCGUGAGUGAUGAAGGCUUUCGGGUCGUAAAGCUCUGUCAGAGGGGAAGAAAUGAAACGUGCUAAUAUCACGUUUUCUUGACGGUACCCUCAAGGGAAGCACCGGCUAACUCCGUGCCAGCAGCCGCGGUAAUAC